UGUCCGCGGUGAUCUCUGGAGUGCUUCUUCUGGCUCUGCUGCUGUUUCUGUGUGCGUUCGGAGUGUUUUACGCCCAUCGGCACGGACUCUUCAGCCAACUGUCACACACAGGACACAGAGGAAGGUCGUUCUGGAUCCCGCAGUGUCACGGCGCCGCUCACAUUAGCAGCCAGAACCUCCACAGAACCGAACACAUGUGAGUCACGCCACAGAGAGACACACACACACACUCG